UAUUAACAAUUUUAUUAAUUUGUAUUGUUAAAAAAUUAACGUGAUUGACGGGGUAACUAAAUAAUGACACGUGACAUGUCACGUAUAGCUCAUGCUGAUAUGCAAUGAACAAUUUAUAACCAUAGAAAUUGAUGAAAAUUUAAACA
rfam:Gossypium raimondii Chr11_contig_956, whole genome shotgun sequence.